rnacentral:rRNA from 1 species
UACAGAGGUCUCAAGCGUUUGUUCGGAUUCAUUGGGCGUAAAGGGUGCGUAGGUGGGCGAGAAAGUCAGUGGUGAAAUCUCCGGGCUUAACCCGGAAACUGCCAUUGAUACUAUUUGUCUUGAAUACUUGGAGGUAAGCGGAAUAUGUCAUGUAGCGGUGAAAUGCUUAGAUAUGACAUAGAACACCAAUUGCGCAGGCAGCUUACUACACAGUAAUUGACACUGAGGCACGAAAGCGUGGGGAUCAAACAGG